CGGAGCCUAAGGGAACAAUUACUUGGAGACAUGUCAUAGAAUUGGAGUAUAUUGGGUUCUCUGGUAAGGUCACCAACGGAAUCGAGUUGGUUCGUUCCAAGCCCGUAUUGAUGACACCUGUCGAAUCACGGGCCGUUUUCUUGGGAGCUCUGUGGAGUCCUCUGGUUGGUUCCACCUCCUCCACCAAUAUCUCCAGAUCCGGAGCACUCUUCUCCACCCUUUCUUGGGAUCCCUCGCGAGAUUGCAGUUGCGAAAGCAGGUGUGCUGAUCGGCCGGCGGCGGUUUGUCAACUCGGUUCGUGGGUACAUGUGGUUUCUCCGAUGAUGGGAGGGGCGAUCGACUACUUCUAUGUGCUCGAGCGACUUGGUUCCGUGGCGGAGAUUUGUGAAUUCCAUGGUCUUGUGCGUGUUCUCUGUUUGGUGAAGAACGUUGAAUGUUUCAUGCAGGUCACCUGUUUGAUGAUAUUUUACAGAGACAUCUCUCCUCGGUGAUGAGCUGUUAUGCGAUCCUAGGUAAGGCAUGCAGAAGAAGCGUUCUAAUUAUCAUUUUGUAGAAAUGAAUUAAACGGGAUGCCGCCCUGGAACUGAGGAGACAUGUCUAGGUGGAUGCUUCCGCUAUUACUAUGACAACAUUAGGUGGGCCUUUUUUCUGCAGCUGAAGGCUAAGGAGAUGAUACUUAUUCUCUGCUAAAGAAGCCACCCGGUUGUUCUGGAAUUCGUGAUGAAGGAGCUAGAUGGGUAUCUUGCGAUAUAUUUAAGGGAGCAGUCCCUCAACCAUUCAUUGUUCCAGUACUUCUAUAGAUUGGGAUCAACAACCGCCCAAGAAGAAGCAUACAGAGACCUCGAAAGAUUAUCCUGCACUAACCUGAAAUACAUUAUACAAUUCCUAAAUGAUUAUAUGAGGCUUGUAUCCAAGACAGGACGGUUAUUCACAAGCCCAGAGCUCUCGGAAAAAUUAUGGUCAAAGAUGCCUGGAGAGCUGGGAAGAAAGAUAAAGGGAGCGUUCGAAGCUAAAUACAGGGGAAAUACGAUAGGGGUCAUCCCAAGAAUUCUUUUCUCCUACAAAUACUUAGAAGCAGAAUACAAAGAUGCUGUAUUCAAAAGGGCAUUAAAAGACUUAUCUUUCUGCAGUGAGAUGUCAAAGACAUGAUUUGAUGAGAUUCAUAUCAACCAUGAAAUUUGUAUUUCUUUUAUGUUUAAAAUAUUAGAAGAUAAUCGAGCAUUUAUUUUUGUUAUUCAUAUAUUUUCUACCUUUUAUGUUAAUUUCUUAGCAUUUUCUUAAUUCAUGUUAGAGAACAAACUUGUAUUAUAAUUUUUGUAGCUUAACACAGUGUUCAGGUUUGUUGAUAUAUGUAUAUAUAUGUACAUAUAUAUAUGUACAUAUAUAUAUAUGUACAUAUAUGCACAUAUAUGUACAUAUAUACAUGUACAUGUAUGUAUGUACAUAUAUAUCAACGAGUCUGAACUGUGCUAAGCCACAAAAAUUGUAAUACAAGUUUGUUCCCUAGCAUGAAUUAAGAAAAAACUAAGAAAUUAACAUAAAAUAUAGCAAACAUAUGAAUAGAAAAAAUGCUAGUGAACAAACUUGUUUUAUAUAUAUAUAUAUAUAUAUAUAUAUAUAUAUAUAUUAGUGAAUGAUCCAUGGAGCAUACAAGAUAUAUUCUUUUUCUGUGUCUCAGGCAAUAGAGAAACUAAUUGAUUGCUUAACCAGUGUCCCUUUAUUUAUCUGCUGCUACCUGCCUAUGCUUUUAUUUUCUUUCAUUUCAUUCAGAUGACUUUUUGAUGUGCAUAGGAUGCCUGACACCUUUUAUUCAUUAGAUAGGUGGCACUGUAUGAGAGAUCCAGUGCCAUGUUCGUGGAGGUCUGAAAGAAAAAUCUUGACAAUGCAGCACUGAUUACACUUAGUCAUGUAACAUGCAUCUUUGUUAAGUUUUAACAAAGGUUUUUUUACCUCUUAUUUGAUGUGUUUGUAGUCUUCAAUGUUGAAAAUCUUUGGCUGGAUCAAAUCUUUAGUGAUAGAAUAUACUGCUUAUGUUUUUCCAUCUGAGUAAGGAAAUAGUUGCUUUUCAACCUAUGCUAUGUGUUUGUAAUCUAUAGUUGCUUUACCAUCUGAAUAAAAAGUGCCACUUAAUUUUUUUUUCCAUCUGAAUUUGAAAAUAGUUGCAUCACUAAACCUUAAACCUGUCAUUAGACGCUCCUAUCAGAAAAAGUAAGUAGUUUCUCAAACCAAAUUUAGAUUGAAUUCAGUCACCAACUUGUAACAGCCUCCUAUACUGAAUGAUGAAACAAUGUUUGGAUAUAACAGAUCUUUGAUCUACUAACUACUACAUUGUCGUAUUCUGCUAAGCUAUUUACAUUGAUCCAAUUCAGAACUGUCGCAUGUUGGUAUGAUUUGGCCUCAGCAAUGGAGAUACAAAGGAUUGGAAGUAGUAAUCUUGGUUCGUUGCAUCUGAAAUGGGUGUUGAUCCGAAGUUGGUGUGCUCAAUGCUUGCACUCCAGUAGAAGCUUGGGAUAGAUAGCCUAGAUCAUCAAAAUCUGGUAACACGACCUCAUUUUCUACAUCUGAUUCUGGUGUCCUGAAGCUGUCGGACAGUGCAUCAUCCACUGAUUGCAUGGUCUCUCCAAAGGAUGUCUCCUGUUUCUGCAUCUUCGUCUUCUCCCAGUACCUGGAAGUUCCCAAGGCUCGUACUUGUAGAGAUCGAUCUCGGCGAUGAUGGGCACAGGCAGGCACUGGCAGGCGGUCUUGCGGCAGAGAUAGUGCACAACGAGCUCCUCGUCUGUGGGGUGGAACCGGAACCCCGGCGGCAAAUUGAGCUCCGCUUCGGCGUCUCUUGUCCUCCCCAUGGUCGUCUUCUCCGCUGGACUAACUAAUGAUCUCUAGUGGUUGUGAAGAUUUCUUGGUCGUGGAGUGAGUUCUAUAUAUAGCGAAGGGUCUGCGUUUUUCGGUGGGCCCAGGGACCACAAGUAGGAUCCGGGAACCUUCGUGUGUGCGUUUGGUCAGAGGCGGUCGACCCACGUUGGUCAAAAUGGAUACUGUUGUGCUCGUGUCCACUGAAACCUGCCUGUGUUGCUGCCAGUUUGUUUGUGGAGGAAACUUAUAUAGUAUACAAAAAGUAUUUUAUUUAAAUAAUUUGUUUUUUAUUCCAUAAGUUUUUGAGUCAUAUUUAAUAUAAAUAUGCUUUUAUUUUGGCUAGGCUGGAAUUCUAAAACCUUUUUGAUUGGAGAAUUCGUUUGACCGUACGAUUUGAUCCUUUUAAUCAGAAAUUGUUAUUUUCUAGGCGCUCAUUUCUAUAAGCUCGAUAUUUUUUCUUCCUUGUUUUUUAUAUAUAUUUUUUUCAGAGAGGUGCUAACGACGAGUCUUUUUUUGAGAAUGUUCUUAUCGUUACAAUUAAGGGUGAUGGUUUCUACAAUGAUAACUUCUGAAAACGUAGAGGUAUGUCGACAAGAUGGGAUUAUAAUCGAUGAUGUUAAUGAGGUCGACGUUAUUGGAGGGAGGGAGCGGCGAUGCGAUUGGAUGCAUCUGCCUUUAAUGCUCUUUUUUAAGUGAGGUCGGGUUGAAGUGAGAACACCGGAUGACGGAUGGAUCCAUUGAACCCGAAGAAGAUAAAUAUUGGAGGGGGGAGAGAGUGGGGGACAGUUCAUUGCGACUGCAAUGAACGCAUGUAGAAAUCGCCGAACAAUACGGGCGUCUCGUGGGGCAGAGGCGACUUGUCGUGAUGUCACUGCCGACGCCCAAGAGAAACCCCUGCACUGCAUCCGUGCGUGCGGGUGCAUUGCAUCUGGUCGUCUCGUGUUUGAUGACGACGACUUCUGUUUGGAUAUUCUUUUCUCGUCCCAAAGCUUCUUUCUCACCGAUUGGGUGGUCUCUUUCUUGUUCGGAAAGCAAACCCGCUGCUCUUUGACGGCCGAGCCGACUCCAGUUGUCUACACCGGUCCGAGUCACAACGGGAUUGAUUGAUGGAACCCUUUGUUUGUUGAAUUUUCCUGUUUUUAUUUGAGAUUUUAGCAUAAAAAAAAGGAAAAAGAAAAAGAAAACGACAAAUGUUCACAAUGCUCGGAACUAUACUUGCUGGAGCCACGUUUGGAAUUUGGUAUCCAAUUGGAUGGGUAAAAUUGAUCCCUUUUUUUUUUUUUUGAAUUUUAUGGCACUUAUGCAAUAAAUUUUGUUGAUUUAUUUUGUCUUUUUUUUUUGUUUUUUGACUGGUUGGGUUUGAUGCAAAAUGUAAAAUUAUGUUAAGAGUUUUAUCCAUUCAUGAAAAUUUAUUAUAAAUUUAUGAAUCGUCGGGGUGGAAGUACCAACAACCGACUCUGCUGCAGGCUAAUCCUUCUUCUUCUGUUUUCUGGCGAGAGGUGAGUUUGAAACCUUCAAAUAUCAUUUGACUAAUGGCGGCUUAGAAAAAUCAUAGCCGCCGACACAGUCAUAGAUGGGGACAGAUGUUUAGUAGAAGGGCGUGACCGGAUCCGAUUUAUUCAUGUCCUUUUUUGUUUUCUCGUCACGUGUCAAAAUUUUCGUCUAAUUUAAUCCACACUUUCAUGUACAUUGAUUUUGUUUUUGUUUUUUGUUUUUUGUUUUUGUCUAAUAGAUGAAAGAAAGCUCCUUCUAGGCUCUGCUACUUUCCACCGGAAUGUACUAUCAAAUUUUGACCCACCAAUUAUGCAUGUGUUAGGAGUAAAUAUUUCUUUUAGCAAUUAGAGUUGAUAGUGACUCGUAUUAUCUUCGCAUUGGACUCGUGAAUUGGGUCAUUGUCUUAUUGGUCUUUCUUCAUGGUUGGUUGGUAUUCUCCUUUGGACGUCAAACCUUAUCUGCUUCGCCCAUUCGCACCCAUGGAUGCGUCAUCUCCAUCAAACACGUGACCGUGCCACGUGAAGGUGGGCAUGGCCACCCACUUGGUCCGCCCAAUCUUAUCGCGUAUCCAUGACUCUGUUUCCCUGGGUUGUUGGAUUCCAAUGAGAAGAAGUGAUCCUAAAUCUCCUCGCACUCAACAUGGAUAAUCCUAUUUUUGUUCCUAUCAACAUUGAUCAAUCAAUUCCAAUCAUCCAUCGAUCAGUGUGUCAUUCCUUCUCGACUUUGUCACUUGCAUGCUGAUGUGUUGCCAAGAAUUGCCACCUAGCCCUACCAACUCAAGGAAAA